CCUGAGGGACAAUCCGUGGAACUUUGUAUGCUUUUGGAGUGAGGUCGGUUGCUAGAGACAAGAUGUGCUAUGUAGAAUGUUUAGGAGACUUUCCUGAGAGAUUCUUUGAGAUGCAUAGUUGCCGGCUGGAGAAGACAUCAGUCUUUUGUAACGUUGGCUUGAUUUUGGAAGUUUGAUAUGAAAGAAAGACCUGAAGAUAUGCAAAGGCAAGUGGAAAAAAUGCUAUUAAGAUGAUUGAAAUUGAGA